CUAGUUUUAUCGGUGGAUCACUCGGCUGGU
rnacentral:rRNA from 1 species